AUGAUCAAACGUGCUUGAUUAUGUUAACAGGCGACCUUAACCGCGCACUUAAGUUAUAUUGUUUUUUAUAUUGUAUUUUGAGACUAUAUCCCUGACUCACUGGCAAUGCGUGACCUAGCAUGAAAUAAUCACAAUCAAUCUCUACUCAUUUUUUCUGUUUUACAAUGGACAAAUCCCAAAUGAUAUCUGUUUUUCUCUUGUUUCACAAAUUUGGUAAUGGUAAUUGGUUUUUUUCUCACUGAAUCAUUUUGCAGUUGGAAUCUUAAGAUGAAUUUUGCUUCUUAAGUUGUCUUUUUGGGAUUUGUCUCAUGAGUGUUACACCUUGGCUGUCACUUUCAAAGUUUUCUCCAUUUUUCCACACAUUUUAUUCAAACAUCGAAAUUUGGAUAAAACUCAAUAUGUGGGAUCAUAAACUAUUUUGCUUAUUAUUCAACUGCAACCCCAGAAGAGGACCAAAAACUCUGGAUUAUUGGAGCCGUCCUUGGCCCGCUGGCCGGGAUAGGGUUAAUCGUUUGGUUUGUCCUGUUCAUCUACUUCAAAUGCUGUAAGAAACCCAAGGCUGAAGAGAAGAAGGGGACUUACGCGGAGGGUGAGCAGGGUUCUUUGCACCCCCCUCCAAAACCAUUGCAUCUGAGUGACAAAGACCUUGGUAGAGCAUCGACAUCCGAUAAAUUGGAUAUGGAAGAUUUGGAUGAUACCGGAAUCCGCCGGUCAGCCAGGGACUUGGAAGCACGUCUUGAUCCUCUACCUCUGCCAUUGAA